AAUGAGAAGGAAGUAGA
rnacentral:sRNA from 1 species